UGAUGACAAAUUCUCCGGAAUCUCUGUACAUCUCUUGAUGAUACUCUUGAACCCUUGGCUGAUGACUGUGUUGCUCUCU
ensembl:snoRNA SNORD68 small nucleolar RNA, C/D box 68